ensembl:lncRNA
GGCCAAUGAGUCUGAAGGUGAAGGAAGAUUGGUCCCUGGGCCACACUUGUGCAGACACACUUUUCUGUUCUAAUGAUCUAAUAAAUCACUCCUUUCCUUGAAGACCUCUCUGAAAGAAAUACGUAUAUUUUUUACUUUAUAUGCUGUCCAGACUGAUAUGAAGAUAACCUCCUGAUAUCUGAUUAAUUCCCCUCCUUGUUCCAAAAAGAAUAAGUCAUCAAUUCUUUAUAAGCUAUUAAUGAUUGUAACUGCCCAAUGCUAACUCCUCACGUUUGAACCUAAGGCUUGAUGAUUGUUCCUUUGGUUCUUUCAUUCCUAUGCAAUUCUCAUUCUAGAUUUUAACCAAAACCAACCAAACACCCCAAAUUCUCAUUGUGUAGGAUUUUUUUAGGCUUUGAAAACAGAUACCUUAUAAUAAUAUUUCUUAAACUUAGGAAGCAUGCAUUCUCUAAAGUUUCACAUGUACUUACAGAUGUAAUAAUGAUGAUAUUUUCUUGUUAAAUAAUGCAUGCUUUCCUAGUGACCUUUGUGCUAGGAUUUCUAGUAGGAAUAGAAUCUCAUCAGGCCUCAUAAUAUUGGCAUUGUUAGGGUCUUUUAGUAUAUGUAAGUCUGAAGCUUAGUUUAGGAGAAAUAUCCUGAAAUCUGGAAGUAUUUGUGAUUCAGGGUAGAGAAUCUGCUAAAACAUCCAAGGUAUUUUUUUUUUAGUAUUCUCAUGAGUCUCAGCUGAGUGGGGGAAAGCGUUCUGAAUGGCCCCUUCCUCUAAGACUGAGAAAUUGCAUUAAGUUUUAACCUAUUUGCUAAUUUAUUUUUUAAUUUUUUUUAAAGAAACCUUACACCUGAUUGCAUCCACAUAUGCAUUGGACUUGAGCUACUUCCUCAAUGUUGGAAAUGCCCUUCCAAGUGUGAGAUGCUUCUCUUGACCUGCACCAAGAAUUAUACACUGAUUGUGAGCAGCCAGACCAAAACCUCUGAUGUGGCCAAGAACAAGGACUGGAAUAAAAUAUUGCUGGGAAUUUUUCAGUCAACUCAAUUCAGUGGAUAUUUAUUGAGCUCAUAUAACUCAUCAUGUUCAAGAAUGAAGAGAUCAAGAAUCCUCAACCACCAUCCUUCUGGAGAGCAAAUCUGUACAUUCUCAUAUUCAGGUAGUUUCCAAAUUGUUACAAAAGAGACACUUCACUAAUAACACUCGAGACACUACCUAGGCAAUGUGACUCUGAAAUUAUUAUUU